AUUGAACGCUGGCGGCAGGCCUAACACAUGCAAGUCGAACGGUAGCACAGAGAGCUUGCUCCCGGGUGACGAGUGGCGGACGGGUGAGUAAUGUCUGGGAAACUGCCCGAUGGAGGGGGAUAACUACUGGAAACGGUAGCUAAUACCGCAUAACGUCGCAAGACCAAAGUGGGGGACCUUCGGGCCUCGCACCAUCGGAGGUGCCCAGAUGGGAUUAGCUAGUAGGUGGGGUAAUGGCUCACCUAGGCGACGAUCCCUAGAUGGUCUGAGAGGAUGACCAGCCACACUGGAACUGAGACACGGUCCAGACUCCUACGGGAGGCAGCAGUGGGGAAUAUUGCACAAUGGGCGCAAGCCUGAUGCAGCCAUGCCGCGUGUAUGAAGAAGGCCUUCGGGUUGUAAAGUACUUUCAGCGGGGAGGAAGGCGGUGGAGUUAAUAACUUCACCGAUUGACGUUACCCGCAGAAGAAGCACCGGCUAACUCCGUGCCAGCCGCCGCCGUAA
rnacentral:rRNA from 1 species